GUUGCCUAAUGGUUAGGGCGUCCACCUCGGAUGCGGGAGGUCGCGGGUUCGAACCAAGGCAAACA